AAAAAUAUAAAGCUUCGCCAGCUUCUGCAGAGAAUAGUCAGUACGAAUCGGUGUGAAGUGGGUGGGCUUGGUCAAUCGAUCUACGAUGACCCAUAUUGAAUGCUUCUUAGUAGGAGUAGAGGCAACCCAUUAACGAAAUCCAUAGUUAUGUACUCCCAUUUCCAAAGAGGAAUCUUAGCCGGUUGCAGCAAACCCGAAGAUAACUGAUACUCAGCCUUAACCUGCUGGUAAGUC
rnacentral:lncRNA from 1 species